GCUUCAGUAGCUCAGUUGGUUAGAGCACCUGACUGUUAAUCAGGGGGUCGUUGGUUCAAGCCCAUCCUGAAGCGCGA
rnacentral:tRNA from 3 species